UAGAGUUUGGAUCCUGGCUCAGAUUGAACGCUGGCGGCAGGCCUAACACAUGCAAGUCGAGCGGUAACAUUUCUAGCUUGCUAGAAGAUGACGAGCGGCGGACGGGUGAGUAAUGCUUGGGAACAUGCCUUGAGGUGGGGGACAACCAUUGGAAACGAUGGCUAAUACCGCAUAAUGUCUACGGACCAAAGGGGGCUUCGGCUCUCGCCUUUAGAUUGGCCCAAGUGGGAUUAGCUAGUUGGUAAGGUAACGGCUYACCAAGGCGACGAUCCCUAGCUGGUUUGAGAGGAUGAUCAGCCACACUGGAACUGAGACACGGUCCAGACUCCUACGGGAGGCAGCAGUGGGGAAUAUUGCACAAUGGGCGCAAGCCUGAUGCAGCCAUGCCGCGUGUGUGAAGAAGGCCUUCGGGUUGUAAAGCACUUUCAGUCAGGAGGAAAGGUUAGUAGUUAAUACCUGCUAGCUGGACGU
rnacentral:rRNA from 1 species